AGAGUUUGAUCCUGGCUCGAGCGAACGCUGGCGGCAGGCUUAACACAUGCAAGUCGAGCGGGCACCUUCGGGUGUCAGCGGCAGACGGGUGAGUAACACGUGGGAACGUACCCUUCGGUUCGGAAUAACGCUGGGAAACUAGCGCUAAUACCGGAUACGCCCUUAUGGGGAAAGGUUUACUGCCGAAGGAUCGGCCCGCGUCUGAUUAGCUAGUUGGUGGGGUAACGGCCUACCAAGGCGACGAUCAGUAGCUGGUCUGAGAGGAUGAUCAGCCACACUGGGACUGAGACACGGCCCAGACUCCUACGGGAGGCAGCAGUGGGGAAUAUUGGACAAUGGGCGCAAGCCUGAUCCAGCCAUGCCGCGUGAGUGAUGAAGGCCUUAGGGUUGUAAAGCUCUUUUGUCCGGGACGAUAAUGACGGUACCGGAAGAAUAAGCCCCGGCUAACUUCGUGCCAGCAGCCGCGGUAAUACGAAGGGGGCU
rnacentral:rRNA from 1 species